rnacentral:rRNA from 1 species
UACGGAGGGGGCUAGCGUUGUUCGGAAUUACUGGGCGUAAAGCGCACGUAGGCGGCUUUGCAAGUUAGAGGUGAAAGCCCGGGGCUCAACCCCGGAAUUGCCUUUAAAACUGCAUCGCUAGAAUUGUGGAGAGGUAAGUGGAAUUCCGAGUGUAGAGGUGAAAUUCGUAGAUAUUCGGAGGAACACCAGUGGCGAAGGCGACUUACUGGACACAUAUUGACGCUGAGGUGCGAAAAGCGUGGGGAGCAAACAGG